rnacentral:rRNA from 1 species
AUUGAACGCUGGUGGCAGGCCUAACACAUGCAAGUCGAACGAGUGGCGGACGGGUGAGUAAUGUCUGGGAAACUGCCGAAUGAGGGGGGAUACCUACUGGAAACGGUACCUAUUACCGCAUACCAUCGGAUGUGCCCAGAUGGGAUUACCUGGUAGGUGGGGUAACGGCUCACCUAGGCGACGAUCCCUAGCUGGUUGGAGAGGAUGACCAGCCACACUGGAACUGAGACACGGUCCAGACUCCUACGGGAGGCAGCAGUGGGGAAUAUUGCACAAUGGGCGCAAGCCUGAUGCACCCAUGCCGCGUGUAUGAAGAAGGCCUUCGGGUUGUAAAGUACUUUCAGCGGGGAGGCGUUACCCGCAGAAGAAGCACCGGCUAACUCCGUGCCAGCCGCCGCGGUAAUUC